UACGUAGGUGGCAAGCGUUGUCCGGAUUUAUUGGGUUUAAAGGGUGCGUAGGCGGCCCCAUAAGUCAGUGCUGAAAUAUCCCGGCUUAACCGGGAGGGUGGCAUUGAUACUGUGGGGCUUGAGUCGAGUUGAGGUUGGCGGAAUUGACGGUGUAGCGGUGAAAUGCUUAGAUAUCGUCAAGAACACCGAUAGUGAAGACAGCUAACUAAGCUCAAACUGACGCUGAGGCACGAAAGUGUGGGGAUCAAACAGG
rnacentral:rRNA from 1 species